rnacentral:misc_RNA from 1 species
GUGCAAAUGAAUGGAAACAAAUGUGAACAGUGCAAUCAAAUAUCUCAGUAUGCAACAAGUACAUCCAGUCUAUCUCAUAUACCCCAAAUGCUACCGUAUUCUCAAAUCACCCCCAAAAUACCUUUCUAAUACAAAUAACCCCUACAAAGAUACAAGUAAAUCUAUGUAUUAUACCAAAAAAUUAAAAAAAAAAGGGAAGACAACCUAGAGUGAUAAAUAUGUCGUAUGUUACAUUGUGUGCUGUGCUCUAAGCACUAUAUCCAUUAGUCCCGUUUGUUCCAUUGGCAUGCUUGUCGAAGCUGGCUGUUUUCUUCCUUCUGAUGACUAUGAUCCAUGUGAAAACUUCCAGGAGAGCUGCGACGGCGCCCAAGAAUAUGAUAAUUCCAGUGUAAAUCUUUUUCCAUUUCUUCUCAGGGUCCAAAAUGUCAAAUCCCUCGUAAAUGUUGACGAUGCUCAAAGCGAUGGUUGCAUAUCCAAUAGAAUGGUGGUAGAUGUUCCAGUAUAGUCUAUAUUUAUGAUCUGGCUUUGGCCUCAACAGCAAGGCAAAUACCUGAAGGGUUGCAAAGCAGAAGAGGGUUAUGCCGAUGUUCCUGUGCUUGCUGUACUUGAUUCCGGGAGAAUCGCUGCCGAGUUUAAGACCAGUUCCCCAUCCAGCAACCCCAAUUAUAUAGGCAGAGGAUUGGCAAGCAGCAUGUAGGUAAAACCAUGCUGGAUUUGCUACCUCGAACACCUUCAAGUACCUAGCUAUAAUGAUUCCCAUAGGCAUCAGAACUCCCCAGCUCACUGCGUUUAGUACCCCAUGAACAUUCUUCUUACUGCUUGAUCGGGCAGUUCCGGCAACUGUUGUUCCAGUCUCAAAAUUUAUAGUCCCUACUGAUGCUUUGUUCGCUGAAUCCAUGGAAUGAGCAGUAAAAGUAGCUCCACUCAUGGGACCUUCCUGCCACACCUGGUUGGUCGAUAACAACCUAUCAUCAAGUUGCAGAGUAGCAAAUAUUAUCAUAUCACCACUUGUAUACUCUGCUCUAAGAUUGGAGACCUGAAAACUCAAGUUACUCUGCUGCAUCGACGGGGACAUGCUGUCUAUUGAGGUGGUAUAAGCUGUAGGGAGGCUACUGGUGUUAUGAAAAGCCAGAAGAGCCUGUGACCCCAUCAUCUGUUGGCCGCUAGGGUUGAGAGACCAUACGUACCAAUUGGCAGUGGAUGCCCCAGAUUUGCGAAACGCAAUAUCAGCUGUGCGGUUCGAUGGAUGGUAAUUCCAAUAGAGGAAAGAACUCAACACAGGAAGAUCACUGCAACUGCUAAAUACUUGAUUGCUAGAGAAGGUAUAGCUUGAGCAAGUUUGAGAUAAAGACGAUGGAACACAUAAAGAGAGAAGCAGAAUACAAGAGAACAAAGCAGUUCUCAAAGAUCUAUCCAUGGCUAAUAAUCUGAAUUAUGAUGAAAACAGACGAUAUCGAUUGCAGAGGUCUGAAGGGAUUGAUCCUACCUUAAGGGAACAAGUUUUCAAUAUCUGGGUACGUACUGAAAUUGUUCCCUGAUGAAAGCUGGUUUGAGAGUUGUAGAUCCAGAAACUUGAAAUGGUAUUAUAUAUAGUAGUCUGUGAGGACCAUUCAAGAAGGGAAAGCUGGCUUCUUAGAAGGGUUGUGGUUUUUUUGACUAAUUCCGUCUUGGAGUUUGGAGAAGAAAUUUGGAAAAAGAAUAACAGAAAAAUGCAGUAAGAAAUUAUUUUAACCAUUUAAAGAAUCAAAAAUUGAAAAAG